AGGUGGCGGCGGGGCUGAGACUUACCAGCCACAGGCAGCAGCGGCGGCGGGAGGGCGGGCGGGCGGGAGGCGGAGAGGAGAACACGCCAGGCGCAGCGCGGCGGCAACAACAGCGGCGGCGGCAACAGCGGAGAGACACCGGCGGCGGCUCCUCGGAAGCGGCAGCCGCGCCAGCAGCGCCCGCCCGCCCCGCUCGCCCCCUCCCUCCCCCGCCGCGGAGACAGGGGGCAGCGCCGAGAGGAGAAGCCGGGCUCAGCUUGUGUGCGCGCGGGAGGAGGAGGAGGAGGAGGGGGGGGGGACACACACCGAGGACUGCGCCGGCCGAGGGCGCACGGAGCAGGGAAGCGGCGGCAGCACCGAGAGGCGGCGGCGGCGGGUCCUUGUGCCCGGAGAGGAGGGCGCAGCCCGCACGGGGGUUUCUACCGAGUUUCCUCUUUUUUUCGGUCCCUCGGACUCGGCGGCGGGUCUGCGUUUGUCUCCGGAUUUGAAUCCUCCUCCUUCUCCUCCUUCCUCGGGGAAGCUCCCCUCCCCGCCCCCUCCCCUCCCCCACCGCCUCCCUGCCUGCCCGGAUCCAGCCGGGCGCCCCGUGCCGCGGUCGCGUUGCUCGGCGGAGCUGCUGCGGGCGCUCGCCGUCUCUGCGCGGGCUUGGAAUAUGGUUGGGGAAAUGGAAACCAAGGAGAAGCCGAAGCCAAGCCCCGAUUACCUGAUGCAACUGAUGAACGACAAGAAGCUAAUGAGCAGCCUUCCCAACUUCUGCGGGAUCUUCAACCACCUCGAGAGGCUGCUGGACGAAGAAAUUAGCAGAGUACGGAAAGACAUGUAUAACGACACAUUAAAUGGUAGUACGGAGAAGAGAAGUGCAGAAUUACCAGAUGCUGUGGGACCUAUUGUACAGUUACAAGAGAAACUAUAUGUGCCUGUAAAAGAAUAUCCAGAUUUUAACUUUGUUGGAAGAAUCCUUGGGCCCAGAGGACUAACAGCUAAACAGCUUGAGGCAGAAACAGGAUGCAAGAUAAUGGUCCGAGGAAAGGGCUCAAUGAGGGACAAAAAGAAGGUCUCCUUUAAGAGCAGAGACAACCAUGAUCCAGCAGUUUUGGAGGUAGAGGCAAAACAGAACCGAGGCAAGCCCAACUGGGAACACCUGAAUGAAGAUUUACAUGUACUUAUCACUGUGGAGGAUGCUCAGAACAGAGCAGAAAUUAAACUGAAGAGGGCCGUUGAAGAAGUAAAAAAGUUACUGAUACCUGCAGCAGAAGGAGAAGACAGCCUUAAAAAGAUGCAGCUGAUGGAGCUUGCAAUUCUGAAUGGCACCUACAGAGAUGCCAACAUCAAAUCACCAGCCCUUGCCUUUUCUCUUGCAGCAACAGCCCAGGCUCCAAGGAUUAUUACUGGGCCUGCGCCUGUUCUCCCACCAGCUGCCCUGCGUACUCCUACGCCAGCUGGCCCUACCAUAAUGCCUUUGAUCAGACAAAUACAAACCGCUGUCAUGCCAAACGGAACUCCUCAUCCCACCGCUGCAAUAGUUCCACCUGGACCCGAAGCUGGUUUAAUUUACACACCAUAUGAAUACCCCUACACGCUGGCACCAGCUACGUCAAUCCUUGAGUAUCCUAUUGAACCUAGUGGUGUAUUAGGUAUGGCUUUCCCAACGAAAGGCUAAGAAUUCAAGAACGGUCUUAACUGAUCCUUCAUCAGAUCUGAAUUUUAACAAAUGCUUAGUUUCAGCAGCCUUGAAAAAAGCUUGGCCUAGCAGUCAGUGACUUACUUGCACUUUUUUGCACAUAGAUUUAAAAUAAAAUAGUGCUAUUAAUUUGGAUUAGCUCCUAUUAUUACAGAGUAGCUGUAAUUUAUGAGUGUAUAGUAGUAUACUGACUGCUAAGUGUUCUAUAUAGUGUUUGCUUUACUAAUCACCUAAUUCAUUGCAGUUCAUACUUAUUGACUUAAAGUUAAAAAUCACAAUCUGUAGGCUUGAAGAAUUGCUUUAAAACUUUUUUUUGUGGUAGAACUGGAAGUGAUCUUAAGGUUAGCAAAUAAUUGUCAGUAUUAAAAGAUGGCAUUAUUUAAAAUAGUCCUGCUGCAAGAAAGGCACUUCAGUGAAUAUGUGACUAGUAAAGCUUAAAUGUGCUUGGGUCUAAUAGAUUUCAUGAAAUACUGUAAUUUUGGGAUUGUAAAUGAAUGGAUUAAACAGGUUAAGGCCAGGAUGUUUAAAAUAAAUGCAAUAUUAAUCUGCACAGAUAAACGUCUUUUUAAGAUUAAGAUUUGAAACUACUGUGCCUUAACUUGUUGCUUUUCUUAAAAUGAACUUUUGUAGUUAAUGAUCAUUUAAAUCCAUUUUGAUAAACCUGCUGUUAAUGUUUUCUUUGAAUGUUUUCUAACUUUGUCUUGGUAAUUGCAAUUUAACUAGGUGCGGUGGCUACUAAAGUUCGAAGGCACGAUAUGCGUGUCCAUCCUUACCAAAGGAUUGUGACCGCAGACCGAGCCGCCACCGGCAACUAACCUAUGACCUUCUGACCUCUGAACUCUUCACCCAAUGAUGACCUGACCAUGCCUGCCUGCUGAUCAGUUAACUGGUAAACGCCUUUGCUUGCCUGUCUUCAGUGCAGCGAGCUGGGGCACUUGUCCGUUCGUCUUACCAUCUAACAAAACAGACAAAGAAAUUGUUGUCCUCCAACUCCGCUUUUUGUUGUUCUCCUGUUUGGGUGAAAGUGGUUCUAGAACCUGCACUGAAUAGUAGUAAAGCAAUAAGGUCCAACUCAUCCCUCCGCACUGAUCAUCCUCUAGUGUCCCACCCCAAGCGAACGGUAAGGAGGCCUCGCACGAGAUGGAGACAGAUGUCCCUUAACUACCCGAUGACAGAGGCAGUUACUGUGAGAGACUUCUAGGAAUAUUUUUCUUCUCAAAAAAAAAGAAAAAAAAAAGAAAAAAAGAAAAAGGAAAAAAAGAAGUCAAAGCUCUCUCUGAAUGUACUGUGUGAUGAUGCAUCAUGCAUGAACCUUUGGUCAGGGAUGUCAUUGGGGAAGGGAUUCCAAAAAGUAUUCAAAAUUUGAUACGCUGUUUAGUCACUACCGGUGCCCUCAAAGGGCAGAUGUUGCAGCCUUUUUUUCUAUUGCCUGCCAAAUUGGACGUUUUAAAGGAAAGUGUGCCAUGAAAUGCAGAUUACGAUGACUUUUCAGAACUACAUUAAUGCAGAGAACAAAACAGCAACACUAUUAAAGCAAAAUCUGAGUUUAAAUUAUUUUAACCAUAUUUUAAUCUCCUCGGAAGAUUACAUGAGAACAAGGUACAUGCAUUAUGUGUCACAUUACUGGGCAAACUGUUCAAAUAUUUUUUUUAAACCUCCCUGUAUAGAAAAAAUUCAUUAAGGAUGUAAAAGCCAUGCUUGCCUAUUUGCUGUAUACAUGUAAUGAAAUUGUAGAUAAAGUGUAGUGCAUUGAAACAAAAUGAACAAAAAAGUAGAUACUUUUACUAUACAAGGGUGCUGGUGCAGAAAAAAAAUAUAUUUUUGGAAAUGUAGCAUUUUAUACUUUCAAGUGUUAUAAAAAAAGAAAAAAAGAACAAAGAAACCCUUUAUUUCAUUAAAUGAUUUUUUCUGGUGGUUGUCAAGAAAACAAAAGACCAAAAGAGCCUUUUAGUCUUUCUUUUUUAUUUUUUAAGUAUUGGAAUAAGUCUAAAGAAAAGGAAGUGCCUUAUUUUCUUCAUGGUCAUUUAGUCAAAUGUCUUGUAUAAUCAGCUUCUCCCUCAGACAAGUUACUGCAUGCCACUCAGUCGCCCAGUAUGUGAAAGAAGCUGUGAGGAAAGACAAAUGAUGAGUUGACCAUAUUAAUUACCUGAUUUUUGCCAUACUAGUGUGAUGUGACUUUGCCAAAAUCUCAUUGCGUAAAAUAAUUUGCUAAGUUUUUGUCAAACCAGCCCACCAUUAUUUCAGCAACUCUACUUUUUAAAUCAUAGCAAAUGCCGUACUUGUGCAAUGUAAACCAAAGGGUUCUGUGAUACAGACUGUCUCAUGCUAAAGGGGACUAUUAGCUGACAAAUGUUUGUAGAGCUGGAAGUGUGUCAUUUUUGUUCAGGGAUGGAGAGGAGUUUUCUUGAUUUUGGUUGGAAUAAAUAUACAUCCAAUAUAGUAGUCUUCGGCAUCACCCAGAAAACUGAUGUUCUGCGGAUAAUGAAAUUGAAAGCGCUUAGCUAGUUUUCAGUUCUAGUCUGAGCAGGUCCCCGGUUUUUGCAAGCAGCUCCUGCAGUGGCAAACAGCAUACAAGUUACUUGUUUUUCAGCUCCUCUUUGACUAUUGUUCGAUCUGCCCGCUGGCUUUUCGUCAUAAGAUAAGCAGGAGAGGGACAUCAGCUACUUGUUUGAAGUCCAGCCAUGCUCUGUUUUCCACGUGAGAUUCACAUAGCUGGGCAAUUGCAAGAGCUGAAGCUGUUAAACGCACAGUAUUUAAUUCUGAAAACAUUAAGUAUUACUUCACGUGGGGCUCAGUACUAAACUUGGCAAACAUCAGGUGAUAACUUUAUUCCCCUCUUGUCAACUUAUUCUCCUCCUGCAAAUCUUCGCAGCUUCCAAAUGAAAGGUCAAUAGUAAGCUAAGAGGGCUUACAUUUUUAAGCACCUGCAUGGUGACCUCAUCUAACAUCUUGUCUCACCUGGAAAUAAUUAUCAGUUUAUUUACUAUGCAAUAGACAUUCAUCCUUCCGUAUUCAGCUAGCUUUUUGUUUAUUGUGCCACCGGCUUUGUCUUCCUGUUACACAUACAGUUGUGUUGAUUUUACUUACAGUAUAUGCUGUGCCAUUUUGAUUUUAUUUUGGUUGGUUGGUUGAAUAAACUUGCGACACUCGAACAUUUGAAGAGAGAUUUGCUAAAACAGUACCAGUAUUUGAUCCAGUUUCAUCUCAACUAUGAUAAAACCUGGACAUUUUAGAUGUUUAUCAAAGGUCUUUUACUGGGGGGGAGGGGAAGUGUAUGAAAUAGAUGUGUGACAUGUGAAAGUAAUGUUUGCUCUGAACAAACUUCUGAAAACUUAGUUGACAAAAUUUUGGAUCAACUUAAAAAAAAAAAGCAUGACUUUUGAAAUCUCUGAAUGCCUUGGUUCUCAGUAUUAUCAUUCUUUAAUGACUUUUUCUUUAUUAAAAUAAGUAGUUUUAAGACUUCUUUCUGACAGUAUUAUGUAAUUUUUUUAGAGUGGGUAGAUGGGAGUGUCGCUUGUAUGUAACCGUACAGAUGACAUGUAUUUGUCUAUUCUUUAUUAUCUUAGUAGUUUCAUGCUAUGUAUGUACCAUAACCAACCUAUUGCCUAUGAGAAACAUGUAAGAUAAUGUAUUUACAGCCAUUGUUACAAGUUUAUAAUGUAUUUUUCUAUCUUGUUUUAUAUGUAUGUUAUAUAACAUUCAAAAGAAUUUUUUUCCUGAUUGAGAAAAAAGGAUACAAAAUGCAAAACCCACAAUUUUGAUAACUGAAAAAUUGCCAAUUGUUUUGCAGUACUUUAUUAUAUUGGGAGUGUUGUCUUUCUUGGGCUUUUAGUUAGCUACUGGAUGAAUACAUUAGACAUAUUUGGGUUUUAGUUGGGUUUUUACAUAGCUUGCAUUUUAAUUCUUUGGUUCUUUGCUGUUUCUAUUAACCCAUAGCAUUAUUUUAAUAAAUGUUAUAAUACCAACCUACUAACUCUGGACUAUGUCUGUUUAUUAACCAUUACAUGUUUAAUUAAAAUAAACAAAUAAAGACGGAAGAAUGUAAAGUCUUGAGUUACUGGACUAACCCUGAAGAACGUGACCACAGAUAACACAACGUGACUUGUUUUUAUGUUGUUUGUCGGCUGACAUUCUGCACACUACUAUUAAAUUGGCUUUGGUCAUUCUGGCCUUUUACCGUGGGGAAUAGGUGCCAGUAGAAAUGGGAACAAAGUAGCAUUUUUUGAGGCAUUCUUCUUGUAGAGUCUUGCCACUUGCCUUUCAGCGUCUGCAUUACUAAUUCCACACUUUCUUUUUCUUUCUCUAAAAUAAUUACUAUCGGCUCACAGCAAAAGAGCAAAGAUGCCAGUGUAUUGGUAAAUCGUGAGAGUGUACAGAAACCAGUUUGAUUCUUUGUUGAACCAUUCAGAGGUUGCAGUUAAUCUCGUAGGAGCUUGUGAUUUGUUGGUUUUGGCACCUGAAUCACUGUUGCAUCACGUGACAUUUCUAAGCACAAAAUACUUCUAGAUAGAAGUACCGUACAUCGAAAUACAAAAUCUGGGGGUUUUCCUUGCCAGAAGUGCCUUGUUUUCUUCAUGUCACGCUGUUUUUAAGUAACCUUUUUUUUUUUUUUUUUUUUUGGUACUUCUGCUAUAGUCUAUCAGUAUUGCCUAGCUCAGGGGAGUACAAUUUCUGUAAGCCAAAGGUCAGACUGGAUCAUUUCCUAAUGACUGCAGAAAGUACAAAAAUACACCUUUCGCUAAAUUACCAAGCAACAGCCAUUUCAAAUUCCAGGGCUGCCUUUGUGUGAUCUUUACCCCCGUGGAUGACUGUAGCGACAUGAGCGCAGGGAAUUGAAAUGGUGAAAAUGCUGUUUUGAAUGUACUUCUAUGCAAAUAUUUUUACAGAAACAUUUCUCCUUUUUAAAGCUUCUGCUGUCUGAGGCUCCUUUACAUAUCCUGGGUCAUCCUCCUAGAUUUGUAGUCUUAAGUGGACAGUGAUUACAGCUAAUGUCGAGGGAGAUCCUCGAUGUAGAUCACUCUUCAGAUAUCAACAGUUUUCGUGAAAGCCCAGGCUUUUUCAUCUAGAUAGUAAGAAUUUAGAUGAGGAGUCUUUGCAUCUGUUCAGAUCCCUUCUUUAAUUUAUGGUGUUUCAAACUACGUAUCUUGAAAUCCAUGCAAUAUAAAACUUUAAUUUUAAAACGUUCUCACAGUAUUGGUAGUCAUUAAAAUAGAAUGCCUCUUUAUUUUAUGGAGGAAAAAUAGUCUAGCUCUGAUGAAGAUGUUUGUUAGUUUUUUAAUGGCAUGUAGCUCUUUGUUUUACAAAAAUGUAUAGGUAUAGCUGACAUAUCAAUGCAUUUCACUUGUACAGACAUAUUUUUAAUUUAACAGAUCGUGAAUAUAUUAGUAUCCUAAAAGUUAGCCACAGGGAGAUGAUAAAUCAGACAUUUACAACAGAUAAUGUCAGGACCUUUUGAUCGGCUAAUGACACAAGUGUAAUUUCAGAACUAAUAAUUUAUAUUCCUGAAGAAUUUUAUCAGAGGCAUACAUUUAAACUUGGUGAAGUACUCUCUCCAGUAUAGGUGAAACUAUUUAGAUGGGACAAAAGAUUAGUGUUUUAUAUUGAAGAUUACUUCUAUUCCCAGAACUACUGCUUUUCUGUAACAUUUUUAUUAUUUUGUAUUUUUAUUAGAUAUGAACUACUGUCAUACUUUUCAUCUCAUUCUUCAUUAUAUGCAGUAGUGAAAGUUGCUGUAAGUUUUAAAGUACUUUAGAGCUGAAGGACAGCAAGAAAAGGAAAACUCUAAAAUUUUAUACUAAUUAUUGCUGUCCACCAAAUGCAUUUUUCAGUUUACCUAAGUGCCUGUCUGAAAAUUUAACUAUUUUAUACUUUGCCUGCUUAUAGGAAAGAAGAUAUUUUUAGAACUGAAUUUGAGGAUGGCUUCGAUAUUGCUACAUCACUGAUUGUUCUUUAUUUUUAUUGCUACAUCACUGUUGUUGUUUAUUUUUAUUCUGGGGUUAAAUUGUCCUAACAUUUGGAAGAUCAUACAUUCAAGUCAGUUAGAGAGCUGCUGUUCCAUCCAAUAAAGUGGGAUUUAUCUUAGGGUAAAUCUAUUUAUUUCUUUUAGUAGGUCAGAAUAUAAACAAAAACAUCACGGAGCCUUUCGAAGUAAAAUCUGAGCAAUGCUAUGCACUUCUUAAAAGUGAACUGUUGUACCAAAGUACAACAAAUUUGGUUUCUCUGAGAGUAUUUUUUUGUGUGUGUGUUAUCAAUCCAGAAUAUAUUUCAUAAGAGUCUUCAGGGACAUCUUUCAAAUAUUUUUAAUUGAACAUAUGUUCAGUGUAUACUGACAAUAUGGAUAUUUUAUUUGAACAUAUCUUGAGAAAGUAUGUCCAAAAUCUGCAUGUAAUGAAUAGUUUAUUCCCAGAUCACACUCUUUGAGGGGGACCACUAAAAAGUUUUCGGCCCUGAAAAUGCAAGGAAACACUGAAGUGUGUUACCAUCCGUUAAGAAAUUGCUUUUAACUUGGGGAAAACAUACUUAAGAGUAUACGAAACUUAAUUCUUCGUGUCUGGGUAAAAACAGUAGUCAUCAUAAACAGCACAUUGUACAGAAUGGGAUCCGCGUAACACAUUCCUAGGGUUCAAAGUGCACAGUUGUUAUCGGAAUUUCUCUUUUGUUUUUACUAUAUUUGAUAUAUUUUUCUAAAACACUAUUAAUGGAAUACUGUCCAAAUAACACGUGAACCGUAACAUUAACACAUGGUAAUCAAUGUUGAAUCAAACUGGUUAGCGAAGGUGCAGUGCUCUUCCUUCUAUGUGCCUGCGCGCUAAUGGCAGGUGGUGUGGUUCUGCGUAGGAGGCGGGUGUUGGGCACGGCAGGUUGCAGUGCUAAUGUCUUGGUGCCAGCAGUUCCGAUGUCCGUCUUUGACAACAGACUAACUGGGAGGAAUCCUGACUCCCAAGGCAAAGAUUAACCGAGAUCUGAAACUCGUAGGAGAAUUAAUUGGAAAAACAGCAACAACAAAACAACAUAUAUACAUAUAUGCUUUGACUUGUAUUAUGGCAGUUUGUGUGAAACAUUUAAGGUUUUGUUUGUGCAAAAUAAUGUAUUCUGAGGGGAAAAACAAACAUGGACAUUGCCAAAACACAUGUAAAUAAAACACCAUUUAUGACUGUACAUUAUGUGCAAUAAAGUAACUGGAAAAAGUGCAUGUACUUUAUCCUCAAAAGCAAACUGACAGCUCUCAAAGCUGUAGCUAUAGUUUUAUUUUCUGAAAAGAGAAAUUCUAUUCUGUAUCUAAACAGCAGAAUAAAGAAUGUACAUUUUUCACACUUCAA